CGACCCUCAAGCCCUGGUUGCUUGGUGUUGGGCUGCUCUGCUGGCCGCAAGGCCUGCAGGCCCCGAAAGUUAUCGGCGGGCCCAUCCGUGACCCCGAGCGUAGUAGAACACUUUUCGUCUCGCUUAGGGAGUCCGGUGGGUUCUAGCCGUUAAACCCCCCAAAUUUUUUACAA
rnacentral:misc_RNA from 1 species